rnacentral:tRNA from 1 species
GGGCUUAUGUUCUUAGUGGUAGAGCACAUGCUUUGCAUUCAGAGGGUUCCAGGUUCAAUCCCUGACAUGUCCA